rnacentral:rRNA from 1 species
GUCUACGAGAGUAGUUGUACUCGUGCUAGGAUGAACGCUAGCUACAGGCUUAACACAUGCAAGUCGAGGGGCAGCAUUGGAGUAGCAAUACUCAGAUGGCGACCGGCGCACGGGUGAGUAACACGUAUCCAACCUGCCGCUUACUCGGGGAUAGCCUUUCGAAAGAAAGAUUAAUACCCGAUGGUAUAAAGAGUUCGCAUGUUCUCUUAUUAAAGAAUUUCGGUAAGCGAUGGGGAUGCGUUCCAUUAGAUAGUUGGCGGGGUAACGGCCCACCAAGUCUACGAUGGAUAGGGGUUCUGAGAGGAAGGUCCCCCACAUUGGAACUGAGACACGGUCCAAACUCCUACGGGAGGCAGCAGUGAGGAAUAUUGGUCAAUGGACGAGAGUCUGAACCAGCCAAAAGUAGCGUGAAGGAUGACUGCCCUAUGGGUUGUAAACUUCUUUUAUAAGGGAAUAAAGUGAGGGACGUGUCCCUUUUUGUAUGUACCUUAUGAAUAAGGAUCGGCUAACUCCGUGCCAGCCGCCGC